GCCAGGCAUGGUGGCUCAUGCCUGUAAUCCCAGCACUUUUGGAGGCCGAGGCAGGAGGAUUGCUUGUGCCCAGGAGUUCAACACCAGACACCAGCCUGGGCAACACAGUGAGACCCUGUCUCUA
rnacentral:SRP_RNA from 1 species